rnacentral:rRNA from 1 species
GGGCCCGCACAAGCGGUGGAGUAUGUGGUUUAAUUCGAUGCAACGCGAAGAACCUUACCAGGGUUUGACAUCCUGCGAAUCUCUUGGAAACGAGAGAGUGCCUUCGGGAACGCAGUGACAGGUGGUGCAUGGCUGUCGUCAGCUCGUGUCGUGAGAUGUUGGGUUAAGUCCCGCAACGAGCGCAACCCACGUCGUUAGUUGCCAGCAUUUAGUUGGGCACUCUAGCGAGACCGCCGGUGAUAAACCGGAGGAAGGUGUGGAUGACGUCAAGUCAUCAUGCCCCUUACAUCCUGGGCUACACACGUACUACAAUGCUACGGACAAAGGGCAGCAAACUCGCGAGAGCUAGCAAAUCCCAAAAACCGUCCCAGUUCGGAUUGCACUCUGCAACUCGAGUGCAUGAAGUCGGAAUCGCUAG